rnacentral:lncRNA from 1 species
CCAAAUCCCAAAUCUGUCGAACCCUAAUAGCUAAUACCCACCGCCGCACCCCUUUCCCCCAACUCUCUCUCUCUUCUGCUCUGCGCCUCUGCAUGCCUCCCGCCUCUGCCAGUGAGGCAGUGACCACUGACCAUUCUCCAGCUCCAUCUCUCCAUCUCUGGGCCCAAUUCAAGCAUCUGUAGAUCGCUCAAUUGAUUUGCCACCAGAGAAGGUUCAGCUUGUAGAUCACCCAAAUCAACUUUCAACAGCACUUUUUUAGCUGCUGAAAAAAUUUGGUGAAGCCUUAGAUGCUAAGCCUGAGGUUGAUGGUUUCGUGAAGAUAUUUCCUGGGGCUAUGCAUGGAUGCUAAGCCUGAGGUUGAAGAUGAAAAAGAGGUGAACGCAGCAACAGAGGCCCAUCAGGAUACGUUGGAUUGGUUUGUUAAGUACCUCAAGUAGCUCUCUUUAAAAAUUGCAUCACCAGGUUCAGUCACUUGUUCACAACGGAGGCUUAUCUUGUUUUGCGUGAAAAUGUCUUUUUAAGUCAUUGAAUAAGUAUUGUCUUGUGUUUACGGGGUAUCAUGUUCUUGUUUCUAGACUUAGGUAAUUAAUUGAGUGACUUCAGCUUGAUCAGGGCUUUAUAUCAGAUGUAGCAAUGGUUGAUGAAGUAUGUUAACGAGUUAAUUUUCCUGUUGAAAGAAUUUCUUUUUCAACUGCUAAGUGUGGUAGGAUAAGGUUUUACAUGGGCCAUUUGAUAGUUUUAUAUGGUAGGUGUUUUUCUUUUAGUUGAAUUGAGAAGAUAAAUUCAAGCACAUGAAUUUUGCUCUCCUCUCUCUGAUGAAAGGUCUAAAUUUGUGGCUAUUGAUGAAGGGAAUUUGAUCAGAAUUCAAUCACUUGACUCAUAGAUACAGAUCAAUUGUGUUGUUUGCUUGUGUGAUAUACGGUUUUCCCAUAUG